ensembl:snRNA U6 U6 spliceosomal RNA
GUGCUCGCUUUGGCUGCACAUAUACUAACAUUAGAACGAUACAAAGAAGAUUAAUAUGGCCCCUGUGUAAGGAUGAAAUGCAAAUUCACGAAGCAUUUCUUAUUUUU